rnacentral:rRNA from 1 species
UACGUAGGCAGCAAGCGUUGUUCGGAAUUACUGGGCGUAAAGCGAGUGUAGGUGGUGCUAUAAGUUUGGUGUGAAAUCUCCCGGCUUAACUGGGAGGGUGCGCCGAAGACUGUAGUGCUAGAGUGUGGGAGAGGUAGGCGGAAUUCCUGGUGUAGCGGUGAAAUGCGUAGAUAUCAGGAGGAACACCUGCGGUGUAGACGGCUUACUGGACCACGACUGACACUGAAACUCGAAAGUGUGGGGAGCAAACAG